rnacentral:rRNA from 1 species
UACGUAGGGUGCAAGCGUUAAUCGGAAUUACUGGGCGUAAAGCGUGCGCAGGCGGUUGUGCAAGACAGGUGUGAGAUCCCCGGGCUUAACCUGGGAACUGCACUUGUGACUGCACGGCUGGAGUACGGCAGAGGGGGAUGGAAUUCCGCGUGUAGCAGUGAAAUGCGUAGAUAUGCGGAGGAACACCGAUGGCGAAGGCAGUCCCCUGGGCCUGUACUGACGCUCAUGCACGAAAGCGUGGGGAGCAAACAGG